AGCGAACGCUGGCGGCAGGCCUAACACAUGCAAGUCGAACGGAUCCUUCGGGAUUAGUGGCGGACGGGUGAGUAACACGUGGGAACGUGCCCUUUGGUACGGAAUAACUCAUGGAAACUUGUGCUAAUACCGAAUGUGCCCUUCGGGGGAAAGAUUUAUCGCCUUUAGAGCGGCCCGCGUCUGAUUAGCUAGUUGGUGAGGUAAAGGCUCACCAAGGCGACGAUCAGUAGCUGGUCUGAGAGGAUGAUCAGCCACAUUGGGACUUAGACACGGCCCAAACUCCUACGGGAGGCAGCAGUGGGGAAUCUUGCGCAAUGGGCGAAAGCCUGACGCAGCCAUGCCGCGUGAAUGAUGAAGGUCUUAGGAUUGUAAAAUUCUUUCACCGGGGACGAUAAUGACGGUACCCGGAGAAGAAGCCCCGGCUAACUUCGUGCCAGCCGCCGCCGUAA
rnacentral:rRNA from 1 species